rnacentral:rRNA from 1 species
GACGAACGCUGGCGGCGUGCUUAACACAUGCAAGUCGAGCGGUAAGGCCCUUUCGGGGGUACACGAGCGGCGAACGGGUGAGUAACACGUGGGUGACCUGCCCUCAGCUCUGGGAUAAGCCUGGGAAACUGGGUCUAAUACUGGAUAUGACUCCACGGUGCAUGUCGUGGGGUGGAAAGCCUUGUGCGGCUGAGGAUGGGCCCGCGGCCUAUCAGCUUGUUGGUGGGGUGANGGCCUACCAAGGCGACGACGGGUAGCCGGCCUGAGAGGGCGACCGGCCACACGUGGGACUGAGACACGGGCCCAGACUCCUACGGGAGGCAGGCAGUGGGGAAUCUUGCGCAAUGGGCGAAAGCCUGACGCAGCGACG